ACCAGUUCAUAAACCACCAAGAUAUCCUCCUAAACCAUCACCUUGUCCACCCCCAUCAUCAACACCAAAACCACCUCAUCAUCCCAAACCCCCAGCAGUACACCCACCACAUGUUCCAAAACCACAUCCACCUUAUGUUCCAAAACCACCAAUUGUUAAACCUCCAAUAGUACAUCCACCUUACGUACCAAAACCCCCAGUUGUGAAACCACCACCAUAUGUCCCUAAACCACCUGUUGUGAGACCACCCUAUGUUCCUAAACCACCAGUUGUACCUGUAACACCACCUUAUGUUCCUAAGCCACCAAUUGUUUUCCCACCACAUGUUCCUCUACCUCCAGUUGUACCAUCACCACCACCUUAUGUACCAACACCUCCAAUUGUGAAACCACCAAUUGUUUUUCCACCACAUGUUCCUCUACCUCCAGUUGUGCCUGUAACACCACCUUAUGUGCAACCACCACCUAUUGUAACUCCACCAACACCAACACCUCCAAUUGUGACACCACCAACACCACCUAGUGAAACACCUUGUCCUCCACCACCACUUGUACCUUAUCCACCACCACCAGCACAACAAACAUGUUCCAUUGAUGCUUUGAAGUUGGGUGCAUGUGUUGAUGUGCUUGGUGGACUCAUACAUAUUGGUAUAGGUGGAAGUG
rnacentral:lncRNA from 1 species